AGGUAUACCUCGCAUAAAACCCUCAAACAUAAACACACACAAUCACACACUCCCCAUACAUAUAGUAGAAGAAGAUACAGAAGAAUCCAAUUAUUUUUAUUAUUAUUUGUAUAUGUGAAAAAAAUGUUCAAGAGGUUUUCAUGGAUUAAAACAUUAACAUCUACAGGUCUCGUUUCAGCCGUUUCCUACUGGUAUGGAUAUAAAACCGGCAGAGAAAAAUCUCGGCAGGAAAUACUCGAAUUAAUCGAGGGUAUUGUUCGCCGUCGCCAGAAGAAUCUUGAAUCUAAUCCUCCUCCUCCUUCUGACCCUCCUUCACAUUCUUUUUAAUUCCGGUGCUUUAAGAAAUCAACUAACGUCCCGUUCCAUUAUCGUUCUUAGAAGCCAUGUCUGGGUUCUGUUACAAAUUAAGAGAAUUAGCAUGUCUUAAUUUGAGGGCCAUUAUUUAUAUUUAUUAGUAGUAUCUUGUAUUUUUAACUUAACUUCCAAAUAUGCCCUUAUGGGGGGCAGGUAGCUGUAACCUUGAAUUAUGUAUGGAAUAAUAUGAAUAUCUAGUUUGGAUUAGCUCA